rnacentral:misc_RNA from 1 species
CAGUUGAAAGCUUCGAAUGCGAAAUUGAUAGUAACUCAAUCGCAGUAUGUGGAUAAAUUCCGUGAUCCCGCGGAAAAUGAUCCGAAAAUUGGGGAGGAUUUUUCAGUCGUUACAAUUGAUGAUCCGCCGGAGAAUUGCUUGCAUUUUUCUGUACUAUCGGAAGCUAAAGCAGAGGAUAUGCCAAAAGGAGUUGUUAUCCACCCUGACGACCCCGUGGCUCUGCCGUUUUCGUCAGGGACCACGGGGUUGCCGAAAGGUGUGAUACUGACUCAUAAAAGUUUGAUAACAGGGGUGGCUCAAUUAGUAGAUGGCGACAACCCGAAUUUUUACUUGAAGCACGACGACGUGGUGCUGUGUGUGCUUCCUCUGUUUCAUAUAUUCGCGCUGAAUUCAGUGCUUUUAGUCUCGUUAAGAGCUGGGGCUAGUGUUCUGUUGAUGCAAAAAUUCGAAAUUAGUGCGCUGUUGGAGCUGAUACAAAAACACCGCGUCUCAGUCGCUGCUGUAGUUCCGCCACUGGUUCUUGCAUUGGCGAAAAAUCCAAUGGUGGAUUCGUUCGAUUUGAGCUCCAUACGGCUCGUGCUGUCCGGGGCUGCGCCGCUGGGGAAGGAGCUGGAGGAAGCACUCCAUAGAAGAGUACCGCAAGCCAUAUUUGGACAGGGAUAUGGUAUGACAGAAGCAGGACCAGUAGUGACAAUGUGUCCAGCAUUUGCAAAGCAACCAUUUUCAACUAAAUCCGGUUCAUGUGGCUCUGUGAUUCGAAAUGCGGACCUCAAGGUGGUUGACCCAGAAACCGGUAGCUCACUUCACCGUAACCAACCCGGUGAAAUUUG